rnacentral:rRNA from 2 species
AACCGAGUCUUAAUUGGGCGUUAAGUUGCAGGGUAUAGACCCGAAACCCGGUGAUCUAGCCAUGGGCAGGUUGAAGGUUGGGUAACACUAACUGGAGGACCGAACCGACUAAUGUUGAAAAAUUAGCGGAUGACCUGUGGCUGGGGGUGAAAGGCCAAUCAAACCGGGAGAUAGCUGGUUCUCCCCGAAAGCUAUUUAGGUAGCGCCUCGUGAAUUCAUCUCCGGGGGUAGAGCACUGUUUCGGCUAGGGGGCCAUCCCGGCUUACCAACCCGAUGCAAACUGCGAAUACCGGAGAAUGUUAUCACGGGAGACACACGGCGGGUGCUAACGUCCGUCGUGAAGAGGGAAACAACCCAGACCGCCAGCUAAGGUCCCAAAGUCAUGGUUAAGUGGGAAACGAUGUGGGAAGGCCCAGACAGCCAGGAUGUUGGCUUAGAAGCAGCCAUCAUUUAAAGAAAGCGUAAUAGCUCACUGGUCGAGUCGGCCUGCGCGGAAGAUGUAACGGGGCUAAACCAUGCACCGAAGCUGCGGCAGCGACGCUGAUGCGUUGUUGGGUAGGGGAGCGUUCUGUAAGCCUGCGAAGGUGGCCUGUGAGGGUUGCUGGAGGUAUCAGAAGUGCGAAUGCUGACAUAAGUAACGAUAAAGCGGGUGAAAAGCCCGCUCGCCGGAAGACCAAGGGUUCCUGUCCAACGUUAAUCGGGGCAGGGUGAGUCGACCCCUAAGGCGAGGCCGAAAGGCGUAGUCGAUGGGAAACGGGUUAAUAUUCCCGUACUUGGUGUUACUGCGAAGGGGGGACGGAGAAGGCUAUGUUGGCCGGGCGACGGUUGUCCCGGUUUAAGCGUGUAGGUGUGUGUUCCAGGUAAAUCCGGUUCACUUUAACACUGAGGCGUGAUGACGAGGCACUACGGUGCUGAAGCAACAAAUGCCCUGCUUCCAGGAAAAGCCUCUAAGCAUCAGGUAACAUCAAAUCGUACCCCAAACCGACACAGGUGGUCAGGUAGAGAAUACCAAGGCGCUUGAGAGAACUCGGGUGAAGGAACUAGGCAAAAUGGUGCCGUAACUUCGGGAGAAGGCACGCUGACACGUAGGUGAAGUGAUUUACUCAUGGAGCUGAAGUCAGUCGAAGAUACCAGCUGGCUGCAACUGUUUAUUAAAAACACAGCACUGUGCAAACACGAAAGUGGACGUAUACGGUGUGACGCCUGCCCGGUGCCGGAAGGUUAAUUGAUGGGGUCAGCGCAAGCGAAGCUCCUGAUCGAAGCCCCGGUAAACGGCGGCCGUAACUAUAACGGUCCUAAGGUAGCGAAAUUCCUUGUCGGGUAAGUUCCGACCUGCACGAAUGGCGUAAUGAUGGCCAGGCUGUCUCCACCCGAGACUCAGUGAAAUUGAACUCGCUGUGAAGAUGCAGUGUACCCGCGGCAAGACGGAAAGACCCCGUGAACCUUUACUAUAGCUUGACACUGAACAUUGAGCCUUGAUGUGUAGGAUAGGUGGGAGGCUUUGAAGUGUGGACGCCAGUCUGCAUGGAGCCGACCUUGAAAUACCACCCUUUAAUGUUUGAUGUUCUAACGUGGACCCGUGAUCCGGGUUGCGGACAGUGUCUGGUGGGUAGUUUGACUGGGGCGGUCUCCUCCUAAAGAGUAACGGAGGAGCACGAAGGUUGGCUAAUCCUGGUCGGACAUCAGGAGGUUAGUGCAAUGGCAUAAGCCAGCUUGACUGCGAGCGUGACGGCGCGAGCAGGUGCGAAAGCAGGUCAUAGUGAUCCGGUGGUUCUGAAUGGAAGGGCCAUCGCUCAACGGAUAAAAGGUACUCCGGGGAUAACAGGCUGAUACCGCCCAAGAGUUCAUAUCGACGGCGGUGUUUGGCACCUCGAUGUCGGCUCAUCACAUCCUGGGGCUGAAGUAGGUCCCAAGGGUAUGGCUGUUCGCCAUUUAAAGUGGUACGCGAGCUGGGUUUAGAACGUCGUGAGACAGUUCGGUCCCUAUCUGCCGUGGGCGCUGGAGAACUGAGGGGGGCUGCUCCUAGUACGAGAGGACCGGAGUGGACGCAUCACUGGUGUUCGGGUUGUCAUGCCAAUGGCACUGCCCGGUAGCUAAAUGCGGAAGAGAUAAGUGCUGAAAGCAUCUAAGCACGAAACUUGCCCCGA